rnacentral:rRNA from 1 species
GAUGAACGCUGGCGGCGUGCCUAAUACAUGCAAGUCGAGCGAACGGACGAGAAGCUUGCUUCUCUGAUGUUAGCGGCGGACGGGUGAGUAACACGUGGAUAACCUACCUAUAAGACUGGGAUAACUUCGGGAAACCGGAGCUAAUACCGGAUAAUAUUUUGAACCGCAUGGUUCAAAAGUAAAAGACGGUCUUGCUGUCACUUAUAGAUGGAUCCGCGCUGCAUUAGCUAGUUGGUAAGGUAACGGCUUACCAAGGCAACGAUGCAUAGCCGACCUGAGAGGGUGAUCGGCCACACUGGAACUGAGACACGGUCCAGACUCCUACGGGAGGCAGCAGUAGGGAAUCUUCCGCAAUGGGCGAAAGCCUGACGGAGCAACGCCGCGUGAGUGAUGAAGGUCUUCGGAUCGUAAAACUCUGUUAUUAGGGAAGAAUAUAUGUGUAAGUAACUGUGCACAUCUUGACGGUACCUAAUCAGAAAGCCACGGCUAACUACGUGCCAGCAGCCGCGGUAAUACGUAGGUGGCAAGCGUUAUCCGGAAUUAUUGGGCGUAAAGCGCGCGUAGGCGGUUUUUUAAGUCUGAUGUGAAAGCCCACGGCUCAACCGUGGAGGGUCAUUGGAAACUGGAAAACUUGAGUGCAGAAGAGGAAAGUGGAAUUCCAUGUGUAGCGGUGAAAUGCGCAGAGAUAUGGAGGAACACCAGUGGCGAAGGCGACUUUCUGGUCUGUAACUGACGCUGAUGUGCGAAAGCGUGGGGAUCAAACAGGAUUAGAUACCCUGGUAGUCCACGCCGUAAACGAUGAGUGCUGAGUGUUAGGGGGUUUCCGCCCCUUAGUGCUGCAGCUAACGCAUUAAGCACUCCGCCUGGGGAGUACGACCGCAAGGUUGAAACUCAAAGGAAUUGACGGGGACCCGCACAAGCGGUGGAGCAUGUGGUUUAAUUCGAAGCAACGCGAAGAACCUUACCAAAUCUUGACAUCCUUUGACAACUCUAGAGAUAGAGCCUUCCCCUUCGGGGGACAAAGUGACAGGUGGUGCAUGGUUGUCGUCAGCUCGUGUCGUGAGAUGUUGGGUUAAGUCCCGCAACGAGCGCAACCCUUAAGCUUAGUUGCCAUCAUUAAGUUGGGCACUCUAAGUUGACUGCCGGUGACAAACCGGAGGAAGGUGGGGAUGACGUCAAAUCAUCAUGCCCCUUAUGAUUUGGGCUACACACGUGCUACAAUGGACAAUACAAAGGGCAGCGAAACCGCGAGGUCAAGCAAAUCCCAUAAAGUUGUUCUCAGUUCGGAUUGUAGUCUGCAACUCGACUACAUGAAGCUGGAAUCGCUAGUAAUCGUAGAUCAGCAUGCUACGGUGAAUACGUUCCCGGGUCU